UACAGAGGGUGCAAGCGUUGUUCGGAAUUAUUGGGCGUAAAGCGCGUGUAGGCGGCUCUUUAAGUUGGGUGUGAAAGCCCUCGGCUUAACCGAGGAAGUGCGCCCAAGACUGGGGAGCUUGAGUGCCGGAGAGGGUGGCGGAAUUCCCGGUGUAGAGGUGAAAUUCGUAGAUAUCGGGAGGAACACCAGUGGCGAAGGCGGCCACCUGGACGGUGACUGACGCUGAGACGCGAAAGCGUGGGGAGCAAACAGG
rnacentral:rRNA from 1 species